rnacentral:sRNA from 1 species
GCUACAGACCUGCAGCUAUUAAAAUAUCUAAUGAAUGUGCAAAAAUAAAAAAGAUCAAAUGUUUUGUAAAGAAAUGAACAAAAUACAUAAGAAAUUAAAUAUGAAACGUCUUCAACAACUAACUUGUAAAAUUGAUCAUAUUUUUCUGCAACUGAUAAGUUAUACAAAAGCUAUAGAAUAUCAUUGUAUUUCUCUCUGCAGCGUUUUAAACAAAUCAGUAAUGAUCGUUUUUAUUUAUAUAUUAUAAUAGUAUAGUAUUGACGCUUGAAUUUGAGUUCCUUUUUUUCAAAUAAAUUAAUUUUCAAGAACAGUGUACAUGUACUUGCAUUUGCAAAAACCAAAUAAGGUCAAAAUUGUAAGUAUAGCCCCUUAACGUACAUAAAACAUUUUUUAUUUCUUUAUAUGUAGAAAAUGUUGUAUUUUAUUUAGUAAACAGUGUCUUAUAUUGCAUAUAAUUAUGUUGCAUUUUGUAGAAUAAAAAAAUAAAAUUUCUUUAAUCUU